GAUGAACGCUGGCGGCGUGCUUAACACAUGCAAGUCGAACGGAAAGGCCCAAGCUUGCUUGGGUACUCGAGUGGCGAACGGGUGAGUAACACGUGGGUGAUCUGCCCUGCACUUCGGGAUAAGCCUGGGAAACUGGGUCUAAUACCGGAUAGGACCACAUUUUGGAUGGUGUGGUGGAAAGUUUUUCGGUGUGGGAUGAGCUCGCGGCCUAUCAGCUUGUUGGUGGGGUAAUGGCCUACCAAGGCGUCGACGGGUAGCCGGCCUGAGAGGGUGUACGGCCACAUUGGGACUGAGAUACGGCCCAGACUCCUACGGGAGGCAGCAGUGGGGAAGAUUGCACAAUGGGCGCAAGCCUGAUGCAGCGACGCCGCGUGGGGGAUGACGGCCUUAGGGUUGUAAACUCCUUUCGCUAGGGACGAAGCGUUAUGUGACGGUACCUGGAGAAGAAGCACCGGCUAACUACGUG
rnacentral:rRNA from 1 species